UACGUAGGGUGCAAGCGUUAAUCGGAAUUACUGGGCGUAAAGCGUGCGCAGGCGGUUAUGUAAGACAGAUGUGAAAUGCCUGGGCUUAACCUGGGAACUGCAUUUGUGACUGCAUGGCUAGAGUUUGGCAGAGGGGGGUAGAAUUCCACGUGUAGCAGUGAAAUGCGUAGAUAUGUGGAGGAACACCGAUGGCGAAGGCAGCUCUCUGGGACGGUACUGACGCUGAGACGCGAAAGCGUGGGGAGCGAACAGG
rnacentral:rRNA from 1 species